AAACAGCCUCUGUCUCAGGUUGGGAGUUGCUGCCAUGGAGACCACAAGAGUGGAGAUUUUCUGACACACAGAAAGGAAUGGAUUACAGCUCCUUCUUAUGUAAAUUUCCAUGGAGGGGAAAAAAGAUUAAAAGGAAAAUAAUUCUGCUUUAGUCGUUUUCCUUUAAGGUGAUAAGAUCCUUUGAUUCCAUCGUGGAGAAGAAGGCAACAGCUGUUUGUCACAAAUGAUGGGAAAUGUGCCAACGUCACAACAAGGUUUGAGGGAGGCACAUCUCAUGCUCGGACAUGAACACCCGAUCAUCAUGCUUAUGAACUACAAAAGGAUCUCCAGUAUGGGCUCACGGCAGUUGGCCCUUGAAUAACAUGAAUUUGAACUGCCUGAGUCUGCUAAUAUGUGGAUUAUCUUCUGCUUCUGCACCCUGAGACAGCAAGACCAACCCUUCCUCUUGCUUCUUUUCCUUAGCCUAUUCAACGUGAAGAUGACUAAGGGACAUGGAUGAAGCUGGAGACCAUCAUUCUCAGCAAACUAACACAAGAACAGAAAACCAAACACCACAUGUUC
rnacentral:lncRNA from 1 species